GUGGGGAAUUUUGGACAAUGGGCGCAAGCCUGAUCCAGCAAUGCCGCGUGGGUGAAGAAGGUCUUCGGAUCGUAAAGCCCUUUCGACAGGGACGAUGAUGACGGUACCUGUAGAAGAAGCCCCGGCUAACUUCGUGCCAGCAGCCGCGGUAAUACGAAGGGGGCUAGCGUUACUCGGAAUUACUGGGCGUAAAGGGCGCGUAGGCGGCUCUGUUAGUCAGGCGUGAAAUUCCUGGGCUUAACCUGGGGACUGCGCUUGAUACUGCAGGGCUUGAGGCCGAGAGAGGGUGGUGGAAUUCCCAGUGUAGAGGUGAAAUUCGUAGAUAUUGGGAAGAACACCGGUGGCGAAGGCGACCACCUGGCUCGGUUCUGACGCUGAGGCGCGACAGCGUGGGGAGCAAACAGGAUUAGAAACCCCGGUAGUCC
rnacentral:rRNA from 1 species